rnacentral:rRNA from 1 species
AUUGAACGCUGGCGGCAGGCCUAACACAUGCAAGUCGAACGGUAACAGGAAGCAGCUUGCUGCUUUGCUGACGAGUGGCGGACGGGUGAGUAAUGUCUGGGAAACUGCCUGAUGGAGGGGGAUAACUACUGGAAACGGUAGCUAAUACCGCAUAACGUCGCAAGACCAAAGAGGGGGACCUUCGGGCCUCUUGCCAUCGGAUGUGCCCAGAUGGGAUUAGCUAGUAGGUGGGGUAACGGCUCACCUAGGCGACGAUCCCUAGCAGGUCUGAGAGGAUGACCAGCCACACUGGAACUGAGACACGGUCCAGACUCCUACGGGAGGCAGCAGUGGGGAAUAUUGCACAAUGGGCGCAAGCCUGAUGCAGCCAUGCCGCGUGUAUGAAGAAGGCCUUCGGGUUGUAAAGUACUUUCAGCGGGGAGGAAGGGAGUAAAGUUAAUACCUUUGCUCAUUGACGUUACCUGCAGAAGAAGCACCGGCUAACUCCGUG